rnacentral:rRNA from 1 species
UACGUAGGGUGCGAGCGUUAAUCGGAAUUACUGGGCGUAAAGUGUGCGCAGGCGGCUUCGCAAGUCGAGUGUGAAAUCCCCGAGCUUAACUUGGGAAUUGCGCUCGAAACUACGGAGCUGGAGUGUGGGAGAGGGAUGCGGAAUUCCAGGUGUAGCGGUGAAAUGCGUAGAUAUCUGGAGGAACACCGGUGGCGAAGGCGGCAUCCUGGACCAUUACUGACACUGAAAAGCGAAAGCCAGGGGAGCAAACGGG